GCCAGUACCAGGCAGGCAGGGCAAGGGGCAGCCAAGCAAUUCUGGGCCCUACAGCAGUGCUAACAUAUUACAUUCAUCCAAUGCACCAAAAAGUAGUUCAGUACUAAAAAUGAAGAGCUCUCCCAUGUGUGAACCUUUGGCUAGAAACUCAUACAAAGUGAGGUUUAAGUCAAGUAAGGCUACCCUGAGUUAGAAAAAAGUCUUUUAUUACUUUUGGAAUUGUUUUAGAUGCCUCAUGAAUAAGCGACAGUAAAUCAGUUAACAUUAUUAAUCUUCCUGCCCGGGCAUAAGAGAGUGAGGAGAGCCAUUGAAACAGAGCUAAACGCUUAGACUAGGUACCCUUGAAAGCGAAAAGGAAUUCUGGAAGUGAUGACUGAUGACACUGAAAACUACUGAGAAAUACUGAAAAAUCCAGCCCCUCGGCCUUGCACCAGGCAGCUACUCGGAUUGCUGAGGCUACAGCUCUAGAGGAGAGGAAGAGGAGGAGCCAGGCCAGGGCAGAGACUCCCAUCACCCAUCCUUUCCUUCCAACGCCCCGGGCAGGAGAGCACAAUGCGGAGCCUUCCGUGCCUUCAUCUAAUACUGCACCUUUCCAAGUCAUUUCUUUAGUACAACAAACAGAAAUUACUACCUGCAGUGGUUUGAACAAAUGACUCCAACAGCUGGGCCAGUUAAGCUAGUUUCAGUAAACCAACAACUCUCUUAACAUUUGGCUUCUUAGUUUUGCUCAUAUAUCAGGCAUCCCAAAACAUACAUAUUAUAUUCACACUAGCAACCAUGAAUUUAUCAGAUGCACCCCCUGAAUGCCAAAAUCUGAUGAGAAAAUGCCAUCAGCCAGUUUCUGAACCAUGCCUUGGUCUGUACAGAGACGAUGGCAGUUAACAGCCCCUCCAGGUGACCUUCCAGGAUUUCAACUCCCUAUCCUUGCCCCCCUCCACACUGCACCCCAGGGGGCAGGGAGGAGGCAUCAGCUGGAGCCCUACUCUCUUCUCCCCUUGCAGCUCCUGCCAGUUCCUCGCAGGCCCUGGGACAUGACUGCCCACCUCCUGACGGUGGCUAAAUGUGACGAGUCAGCUCUGGGCUUUGGGGAAGGAACUCCCAGUGCUGAGCCACUCCUGUCCCCAGAUCCAGGGUGAUGACCCCAAGUGCAGCAGCUUCCUCCAUCUUCUGGAAGAACAUCUCAAAGGGGCAGAGCUGGGAAAGGAAGUGAAAGGAGGAGGCCAGGUGCCGAGGCUUUAUCUUUCCCCCUCAGGUUUCUGUUUCACUGUCCCCUCUUGAAGGAGGAUGUGAACUGAUGCAGACUUUUUAAACAAAAUUCUAAGGGCAACACAAGUUUGAUUAAGAACAACCUUUUAAAAGUCACCUAGUAAUACAGAACCCUUGAAAGCAUCAUGUCCAGAAUUCAGUCCGUUCUUAAUAGAUAUCUAUGCACUCUUUAUGGGUUUAGAUGUGUUUAGGACUGUUAUUCAUGACUUUGGGCACUACUCCCCUACAAAUCACCUCUUUUUUUCUAUUCAAGAAGGUAUCUGGGUGUGAAGCUCACCCACAGUACAAAGAUGAAGGGUUACUGGUCCCACUGUACAGAUGGCCAGAGCCCUUUAACUGAGACUGGCUGGCCCUCUAGACACCUGUCACCCCUCCCACCAGGUCUACUUCUUCAUUAAAGCAAUUCUCCCUGCCUAUGUUUAGCAUUUGCAAAAAUAUAUAAACAAAAUGAUCUUUUAAAAGUGGUACUGGCUUCCCAAACUCUAUUCUUUCCCAAGAUCAGCUGAUAAAUACUGUCUACCUUGCUUUGCUAAGAAACUGCUGAUGAUUCCCUAGAGCAACUUGAAAAAGCUAUAAAAAUUUCAAAGAAAGGCAAAUUAAAUGUUUUUGGAAAAUAUACAGAUAGUAACUAAAAUAGUAAACAAAAUACCUGCUCCUAGCAAGAGCUCAGAAAAAGGUAGGACUUGGAGAUGCUUUUCCUGGAGACAACAACACAGAAACAUCAGCAAUGAGUCAGCUCCUCCCCCACCAGCAUCCUGGGCAGUUAAGCAGCGCAAGGAAGCUGUUGUGAGAAACCAAGAAUGCAGAAAGAAGUAUCCCUGGCCUUCCUAUUAUCUACAGUGAAUGCGGACAUUCUAUAGUGGGAACGUUUACACGGGAGUGAUUCUGAUUUGCCGGCUUGUGGUAAUAAUGAUAUAAUCUGCUCACUAACACCCUAACAGGAGGAUAACUGUGUCUCCACCACACAAGUGUUUACACGAGGCCCCUGAGGACAAGACCUCAGGCUCCUGGCUGGCAGGAUGCAGACAUCUAAGCUCUCGUUGUGUCUGAGGAAUCCACACACAGUGCUGAGAGAGCACUAACUACGGAGUCGGUGGCCUAGGUGCAAGGGAUGCAAGAAGGCUCUGCUCAGAACGCUGGAGCAACAUGCUAGAGACCAACUGCAGCAGAAAAGCCCAACAGAUGGGGAGAAAGUUAUUCUGGAGGAGGGCGGAAUACUCCCCAGAAGAGGUGGCAUGGGGAUUUGGAAAAAGGCCACCGUGCAACUCUCCACUGGCUCUUAAGAGGAGACCACUGAACAGAAGACCUUGCUCACAGGCGCUGUCAAGAAGGGCAGAUAGUUAUGUAAGAAAUUUGCAAAAACUUGAGGAAACAAAAUAAGGGAGACCAUGAGUACAAAAACAUCAAGCAAGUAGGGGCUAGUUCAAACACUUAAAAGUAUACUCCACAUAACUCAAAACUCCAGGGAGAACUGGCGGAUGACAGCACCAGAGCAAGUCUCCUUAAUGACUCGAGAAGUGACUCGGAAAGCUGAGCCACCUAUCAGAACAGCUUCCUGGUGCCAGGGAAUCUGGCUUGUUUUAGAAGCAGACGAGUUCUAGAAUUUUAAUUUACUAACAGGGUUUCCAAACAUUACGGUUUUCCCCAACCCCCCAGUUUUCUGUGAAACCUUGAACUUACCAACCAAGGUACCUUACAGGCAUGUAAUAAGACCUUACUUGCUUUAUGGAAUUUCAGAUUUCAAAAUAAAAUGCAUGCAAUA